GAUGAACGCUAGCGGCAGGCUUAACACAUGCAAGUCGAGGGGUAUAGGUUUUCGGACCUAGAGACCGGCGCACGGGUGCGUAACGCGUAUGCAAUCUACCUUUCACAGAGGGAUAGCCCAGAGAAAUUUGGAUUAAUACCUCAUAGUAUUAUGAAGUGGCAUCAUUUUAUAAUUAAAGUUCCAACGGUGAAAGAUGAGCAUGCGUCCCAUUAGCUAGAUGGUAAGGUAACGGCUUACCAUGGCUACGAUGGGUAGGGGUCCGGAGAGGUAGAUCCCCCACACGUGUACUGAGACACGGACCAGACUCCGACGGGAGGCAGCAGUGAUGAAGAUUGGUCAAUGGACGCAAGUCUGAACCAGCCAUGCCGCGUGCAGGAUGACGGUCCUAUGGAUUGUAAACUGCUUUUGUACGAGAAGAAACACUCCUUCGUGAAGGAGCUUGACGGUAUCGUAAGAAUAAGGAUCGGCUAACUCCGUGCCAGCAGCCGCGGUAAAAC
rnacentral:rRNA from 1 species